UACGUAGGUGGCAAGCGUUGUCCGGAUUUACUGGGCGUAAAGAGCGCGCAGGCGGUCAUUCAAGUCGCGUGUGAAAGCCCCCGGCUCAACUGGGGAGGGUCACGCGAUACUGAUCGACUCGAAGGCAGGAGAGGGUAGUGGAAUUCCCGGUGUAGUGGUGAAAUGCGUAGAUAUCGGGAGGAACACCAGUGGCGAAGGCGACUACCUGGCCCAUUCUUGACGCUGAGGCGCGAAAGCUAGGGGAGCGAACGGG
rnacentral:rRNA from 1 species